AACGAACGCUGGCGGCAUGCCUAACACAUGCAAGUCGAACGAGACCUUCGGGUCUAGUGGCGCACGGGUGCGUAACGCGUGGGAACCUGCCCUUAGGUUCGGAAUAACUCCCCGAAAGGGGUGCUAAUACCGGAUAAUGUCUUCGGACCAAAGAUUUAUCGCCUUUGGAUGGGCCCGCGUUGGAUUAGCUAGUUGGUAGGGUAAAAGCCUACCAAGGCGACGAUCCAUAGCUGGUCUGAGAGGAUGAUCAGCCACACUGGGACUGAGACACGGCCCAGACCCCUACGGGGGGCAGAAGGGGGGAAUUUUGGAAAAUGGGCGAAAGCCUAACCCAGCAAUGCCGGGGGGGGUAUGAAGGCCUUGGGUUUUAAAAGCUUUUUUCCCCGGGAGGAAAAGAAAGGUACCGGGGAAAAAAGUCCCGGCAAACCCCGG
rnacentral:rRNA from 1 species